UAUUUAUAAAAAUAGACAGGGACAUCUGCACACCCUCGUUUGGUUAGGUUGAUUGAUGACUCGAGUCUUAAAUGGAAAUCUCUCUGAUGCAUU